rnacentral:rRNA from 1 species
UACGAAGGGGGCUAGCGUUGCUCGGAAUCACUGGGCGUAAAGCGCACGUAGGCGGCUUCUUAAGUCAGGGGUGAAAUCCUGGAGCUCAACUCCAGAACUGCCUUUGAUACUGAGGAGCUCGAGUCCGGGAGAGGUGAGUGGAACUCCGAGUGUAGAGGUGAAAUUCGUAGAUAUUCGGAAGAACACCAGUGGCGAAGGCGGCUCACUGGCCCGGUACUGACGCUGAGGUGCGAAAGCGUGGGUAGCGAACAGG